AGUUCUGCAAGCAUUUGUUGGAUGUGAAGGUUGGUGUGAUGACCACGCUGCCCACAACAGGUCAGUACAUUCCCAGGACAGUCCUGAAAGGUGGGUUCUCUUUUUUCCAUUAUCCAAAUAAGGUCAAGGACUCAGAGAAGCCACAUAACCUAGCUAGGAGGAGGGUUCAAGCUGGGUCUCCCUGUCCCCAAGCCACACUCUGGACCCCCCCUCCUGACGCUGAAUAACUGAGGUCUCCUUCUGGCCCCCUCCCCACCUCACUCUGCUCGGGACACGUGGCUGCAUAGGGCUUCUAUGCCCCAGAAACCAGGUGGCUCCUUUCCUCCUAGUCCCUCUCCUAAUUGUUGUGUUGCAGGCAAAAGGGUGCGGACAGCUGAGGCUCCUCACUUCCCGCUCCAAAGCUCAGAACCUCCCUUCCCUCCUGGAUCCAACAGAAGCAGCGGCCGCUGCUGCCUGUGCCUCUCAAACUUGUCACCCACGGAUGCUGGGAAAAAUGCACAUAAAAGGGUCCUGUCUUUGUGAUGUCAGCGUGAAGUGGAAUUCGCAGAAUGGCUAAAGUGGAGGGAAGACUUAAAAUGCAUUGGAUGAUGAUAGCAGCGUCAUUUACAAUCACCACGACUUGGAAGCAGCCGAGAUGUCCUUUGGCAGAUGAUUGGAGAAAUGAACUGUGGCACGUCCAUGCAGACCAUGAAAUACUAUUCAGUGCUAAAAAUGAGUGAGCUUUCCAUCCAUGAAAAGACAUAGAGAAACCUGAAAUGCAGAUCACAAAGUGAAAGGCCAAUCUGGAAAGGCUACACACCCUAUGACUCCAACCUGUGACAUUCCCAAAGAGGGAUUUUUCCAAAGAGGAAAAAUUAUGGGGACAGUAAAAAGAGGAGCUGCCAUCAUUAGGGAAGCAGGAGUUGAGGAGAGUCAGAGUGACACCACUGAAAAAUCUUCUCUGUCUUGAGACUAACAAGGUACCUUCCUUGCCAGUCACAACCCAUGGUCCUAAGAUGGUCACAGCUAAGGAGGCAGCUUGGUACUGC
rnacentral:lncRNA from 1 species